GUGCUCACUUCAGCAGCACAUACACUAAAAUGUGACAAUACAAGGAAGAUUAGCAUGUCCCCUUCGCAAGGAUGACAUGCAAAUUCAUGAAGCAUUCCAUAUUAAG